CUAAGAGCAUGCUCUUAUGGGUGGCGAGUGGCGGACGGGUGAGGAAUACAUCGUAAUCUACUUUUUCGUGGGGGAUAACGUAGGGAAACUUACGCUAAUACCGCAUACGACCUACGGGUGAAAGCAGGGGAUCUUCGGACCUUGCGCGAUUGAAUGAGCCGAUGUCGGAUUAGCUAGUUGGCGGGGUAAAGGCCCACCAAGGCGACGAUCCGUAGCUGGUCUGUAAGGAUGAUCAGCCACACUGGAACUGAGACACGGUCCAGACUCCUACGGGAGGCAGCAGUGGGGAAUAUUGGACAAUGGGCGCAAGCCUGAUCCAGCCAUACCGCGUGGGUGAAGAAGGCCUUCGGGUUGUAAAGCCCUUUUGUUGGGAAAGAAAUCCAGCCGGCUAAUACCUGGUUGGGAUGACGGUACCCAAAGAAUAAGCACCGGCUAACUUCGUGCCAGCAGCCGCGGUAAUACGAAGGGUGCAAGCGUUACUCGGAAUUACUGGGCGUAAAGCGUGCGUAGGUGGUUGUUUAAGUCUGUUGUGAAAGCCCUGGGCUCAACCUGGGAACUGCAGUGGAAACUGGACAACUAGAGUGUGGUAGAGGGUAGCGGAAUUCCCGGUGUAGCAGUGAAAUGCGUAGAGAUCGGGAGGAACAUCCAUGGCGAAGGCAGCUACCUGGACCAACACUGACACUGAGGCACGAAAGCGUGGGGAGCAAACAGGAUUAGAUACCCUGGUAGUCCACGCCCUAAACGAUGCGAACUGGAUGUUGGGUGCAAUUUGGCACGCAGUAUCGAAGCUAACGCGUUAAGUUCGCCGCCUGGGGAGUACGGUCGCAAGACUGAAACUCAAAGGAAUUGACGGGGGCCCGCACAAGCGGUGGAGUAUGUGGUUUAAUUCGAUGCAACGCGAAGAACCUUACCUGGCCUUGACAUGUCGAGAACUUUCCAGAGAUGGAUUGGUGCCUUCGGGAACUCGAACACAGGUGCUGCAUGGCUGUCGUCAGCUCGUGUCGUGAGAUGGUUGGGUUAAGUCCCGCAACGAGCGCAACCCUUGUCCUUAGUUGCCAGCACGUAAUGGGUGGGAACUCUAAGGAGACCGCCGUGACAACCGGAGA
rnacentral:rRNA from 1 species